AGGCUUCGGCCUUAGUGGCGGACGGGUGAGUAACGCGUGGGAAUCUACCUAGCGGCGGGGAAUAACAGUUGGAAACGACUGCUAAUACCGCAUACGCCCUUCGGGGGAAAGGCUUCGGCCACCGCUUGAGGAUCCCGCGUCCGAUUAGCUAGUUGGUAGGGUAAUGGCCUACCAAGGCGACGACGGGUAGCCGGCCUGAGAGGGCGACCGGCCACACUGGGACUGAGACACGGCCCAGACUCC
rnacentral:rRNA from 1 species